rnacentral:rRNA from 1 species
UAGUCCACGCCGUAAACGAUGAAUGCUAUAUGCUGGGGGUUAAACCUCGGUGUUGCAGCUAACGCUUUAAGCAUUCCGCCUGGGGAGUACGGUCGCAAGAUUAAAACUUAAAGGAAUUGACGGGGACCCGCACAAGCGGUGGAGUAUGUGGUUUAAUUCGAAGCAACGCGCAAAACCUUACCAGCUUUUGACAUGAAGCGUUUGGGAUACAGAGAUGUAUUCCUUCAUUCAGUUGGCGCUUACACAGGUGCUGCAUGGCUGUCGUCAGCUCGUGUCGUGAGAUGUUGGGUUAAGUCCCGCAACGAGCGCAACCCUUGUCCUUAGUUGCCAGCAAGUAAUGUUGGGCACUUUAAGGAACUGCCAGUGACAAACUGGAGGAAGGUGGGGAUGACGUCAAGUCCUCAUGGGCCCUUAUAGGCUGGGGCUACACACGUACUACAAUGGCGGUUACAA